rnacentral:rRNA from 1 species
UACGUAGGGGGCAAGCGUUGUCCGGAUGUACUGGGCGUAAAGAGCGUGUAGGCGGCCAGGCAGGGCUGUUGUGAAAACUGGAGGCUCAACUUCCAGACGUCGACAGAAACCGCUUGGCUAGAGUCCGGAAGAGGAGAGUGGAAUUCCUGGUGUAGCGGUGAAAUGCGUAGAGAUCGGGAGGAACACCUGUGGCGAAGGCGGCCGACUGGGCCGACCCUGACGCUGAGGCGCGAAGGCGUGGGGAGCGAACGGG